rnacentral:rRNA from 1 species
UACGUAGGGUGCGAGCGUUAAUCGGAAUUACUGGGCGUAAAGUGUGCGCAGGCGGCCGCGCAAGUCGAGUGUGAAAGCCCCGGGCUUAACUUGGGAAUUGCGCUCGAAACUACGUGGCUGAGUGUGGCAGAGGGAGGUGGAAUUCCAGGUGUAGCGGUGAAAUGCGUAGAGAUCUGGAGGAACACCGAUGGCGAAGGCAGCCUUCUGGGCCAACACUGACGCUCAUGCACGAAAGCGUGGGGAGCAAACAGGA